UCCACUACUGGUGCCACGACGAAAAUGGAACAGUGACAGAAGGAACGUCCGAAUCGAUGACGUGGUUAUACUCUCUGACCCUAAUGCAGUUCGAGGAAAGUGGACAUUGGGUAAAGUUAUCCAAGUGUAUCCUGGGACUGAUGGGAAAGUUCGAACAGUUAAAGUACAAUCUAAAGAUUGAAUAAUACACGGUAGUGAGCCUGCCUAACUAUCCAAUUUAAA